rnacentral:rRNA from 1 species
UACGUAGGGGGCGAGCGUUGUCCGGAAUUAUUGGGCGUAAAGAGCGUGUAGGCGGUUCGGUAAGUCCGCCGUGAAAAUCCGAGGCUCAACCUCGGGCUUGCGGUGGAUACUGUCGGGCUAGAGGAUGGUAGAGGGGAGUGGAAUUCCCGGUGUAGCGGUGAAAUGCGCAGAUAUCGGGAGGAACACCAGUAGCGAAGGCGGCUCCCUGGGCCAUUCCUGACGCUGAGACGCGAAAGCUAGGGGAGCGAACAGGAUUAGAAACCCGGGUAGU